rnacentral:rRNA from 1 species
UGGGGAAUAUUGGACAAUGGGCGCAAGCCUGAUCCAGCCAUGCCGCGUGAGUGAUGAAGGCCUUAGGGUUGUAAAGCUCUUUCGCCGACGAAGAUAAUGACGGUAGUCGGAGAAGAAGCCCCGGCUAACUUCGUGCCAGCAGCCGCGGUAAUACGAAGGGGGCUAGCGUUGUUCGGAAUCACUGGGCGUAAAGCGCACGUAGGCGGAUUGUUAAGUCAGGGGUGAAAGCCUGGAGCUCAACUCCAGAACUGCCCUUGAUACUGGCAAUCUCGAGUCCGGAAGAGGUAAGUGGAACUCGAGUGUAGAGGUGAAAUUCGUAGAUAUUCGCAAGAACACCAGUGGCGAAGGCGGCUUACUGGUCCGGUACUGACGCUGAGGUGCGAAAAGCGUGGGGAGCAAAACAGGAUUAGAUACCCUGGUAGUCCACGCCGUAAAACGAUGGAGGCUAGCCGUUGGCGAGCAUGCUCGUCAGUGGCGCAGCUAACGCAUUAAAGCCUCCCCGCCCUGGGGGAGUACGGUCGCAAGAUUAAAAACUCAAAAUGAAUUGACGGGGGUCAUAGCUGUUUUUCCCU